AUGGUAGCGUCUGCUGUGAUAGUGGGUCUCGUUUCAUCACCUCCGGUAAAAACCGAUCUGUUUGUACGGAAUCGCGGCAGAGAUUCGGGGGCUCGGUCUUUUCUUCUAGCGCGCGAGCAGGAUUCCCAAGCCGUCAAACUGGAGCCCUUUAGAAUGACCAUGUUUAAAGGGAAACGUCGAAAUCACCGGUAUAUUAACAUGGCCGGAGAGCCGAAACCCUACAGGCCUAAAGCAGGAUCCAAACGACCCCCUGGCUGCUGUCUACAGUGGUUAUGAAUUUUGAUUAUGAUUACUACAGGGGAUGAUUUCUACAAUAG
rnacentral:lncRNA from 1 species